rnacentral:rRNA from 1 species
AUACGUAGGGGGCGAGCGUUGUCCGGAUUUACUGGGCGUAAAGGGUGAGUAGGCGGUUAUGUAUGUCAGGUGUAAAAGGCGUAGGCUUAACUUACGUUAGCACUUGAAACUGCAUAACUUGAGUGCAGGAGAGGUAAGUGGAAUUCCUAGUGUAGCGGUGAAAUGCGUAGAUAUUAGGAGGAACACCAGUGGCGAAGGCGACUUACUGGACUGUAACUGACGCUGAGUCACGAAAGCGUGGGUAGCAAACAGGAUUAGAUACCCUGGUAGUCCACGCUGUAAACGAUGAGUGCUAGGUGUUGGGUAGCGAUAUUCAGUGCCGAAGUAAACACAAUAAGCACUCUGCCUGGGGAGUAUGGUCGCAAGACUGAAACUUAAAGGAAUUGACGGGG